rnacentral:lncRNA from 1 species
UUACUGAACUAGUGAACAAUGGGAACUGAGGGGCUCUAUUUUAUUAGUCAUAACCACAUAAAGCCAACAGACAACGAAGCUAAGGAAAGCAUCGAGG